rnacentral:rRNA from 1 species
CAGCUCGUGUCGUGAGAUGUUCGGUUAAGUCCGCUAACGAGCGCAACCCUCGUCGUAUGUUAUAUGUGUCAUACGAGACUGCCGGUAAAAAGACCGGAGGAAGGUGAGGAUGAUGUCAAGUCAGCAUGACCUUUAUAUCCAGGGCUACACACACGCUACAAUGGUCUGUACAAUGGGUAGCCAAGCCGCGAGGCGGAGCCAAUCCUGAAAGCAGGCCUCAGUUCAGAUUGCAGUCUGCAACUCGACUGCAUGAAGCCGGAGUUGCUAGUAACCGCAGGUCAGCAAUACUGCGGUGAAUACGUUCCCGGGUCUU